rnacentral:tRNA from 1 species
ACCUGGGUUGCUCAGUUGGUUGAGUGUCUGACUUUAGCUCAGGUCAUGAUCUCACAGUUUGUGGGUUCGAGCCCUGCAUCAGGCU